rnacentral:tRNA from 1 species
UGCCCCAUAGCCAAGCGGUAAGGCAGUGGACUCUGACUCCAUCAGGCGUUAGUUCGAAUCUAACUGGGGCAGCCA